GUGCCAGCAGCCGCGGUAAUUCCAGCUCCAAUAGCGUAUAUUAAAGUUGUUGUGGUUAAAAAGCUCGUAGUUGAGCCUUGGGCCUGGCUGGCCGGUCCGCCUCACCGCGUGCACUGGUCCGGCCGGGCCUUUCCCUCUGUGGAACCCCAUACCCUUCACUGGGCGUGGCGGGGAAACAGGACAUUUACUUUGAAAAAAUUAGAGUGCUCCAGGCAGGCCUAUGCUCGAAUACAUUAGCAUGGAAUAAUAAAAUAGGACGCGCGGUUCUAUUUUGUUGGUUUAUAGGACCGCCGUAAUGAUUAAUAGGGACAGUCGGGGGCAUCAGUAUUCAACUGUCAGAGGUGAAAUUCUUGGAUCAGUUGAAGACUAACUACUGCGAAAGCAUCUGCCAAGGAUGUUUUCAUUAAUCAGGAACGAAAGUUAGGGGAUCGAAGACGAUCAGAUACCGUCGUAGUCUUAACCAUAAACUAUGCCGACUAGGGAUCGGACGGUGUUAUUCAUGACCCGUUCGGCACCUUACGAGAAAUCAAAGUGCUUGGGCUCCAGGGGGAGUAUGGUCGCAAGGCUGAAACUUAAAGAAAUUGACGGAAGGGCACCACCAGGGGUGGAGCCUGCGGCUUAAUUUGACUCAACACGGGGAAACUCACCAGGUCCAGACACAAUAAGGAUUGACAGAUUGAGAGCUCUUUUCUUGAUUUUGUGGGUGGUGCUGCAUGGACCGUUCUUAGUUGGUGGGGUGACUUGUCUGCUUAAUUGCGAUAACGAACGAGACCUUAACUGCUAAUAGCCCGCAUUGCUCCGGCAGUGCGCUGCUUCUUAGAGGGACUUUCGGCUCAAGCCGAAGGAAGUUUGAGGCCAUAA
rnacentral:rRNA from 1 species